AUCUGUACAGACGGUUAAUGCGUAGGGAGAUCAGUGCGAAGUGUGCAGUCUUUUACGGUACCGUUAGAGAGGAUUUUUGAAGUAAAAGACUACACACAAGCAAAAGAACAGAAGUGACAAACAACAGCCAGCAUUGACUAACGUAACACGUAAUGUAGGAGGUAAUGAGCGGGCGUUAUUUACUAAAAUUAAUAGAUUCUUACAGUCAUAUCUUAUAACUCACUUUUGUUAGCAGGCUAACGGUCGUUCGUUCUUGCAAAGGCUUCAUCACAUCAAGACUAACUAAAAAGAGUGCUUGCCUACAAAAGGAAUGUGCACAAGUUUCAACAGCUUUAUUGCCUGUUAUGGAUUUGGCGUGUCAUGAAUCUAUGGCAGACUCUCUGCAAAUGGAGAGAUCAAGAAGGCUUUGUGAAGUACAGGAGUCAAAUGGAACGUUAUAUUUUGAGCAACGAGAUUGACCACGGUUUCUGCUGCAAGGAAGUGAUGUACUAUAGUCUCUUUGUCACAUCUGUGAAUGUCGGCACAAGAGAAGCAUCUGCUGCAGCAGGUUAAUUGUUUCGGCACUCGCAAUAGCGGUUAUAGCAAAUCAGUGCAAGCCUGGACUGAGUUGACUCAAUUGCUGCAUGGAUGUCGAAGGCAAUCAGUACUGUGCUUCCCUGAACAUAGAAAACGAUGGAAGAGUCCGUCAGAUCAAACAAUUAAUGCUGUCAGUAAAUGUUGCUCGUACGCAAGCCGACAAAAACAAUAACGACCGUGGCGUUGGGCAAUUUUAAUAAAGAACAGACAGUUACAUUAAGGACGAAGUUUGAGCUACAAGUAUAACCGCCGCAUGAGAACACGAAGCGAAAUGAGGACUGCAGUGCAAGAGUUGAACAAAUGGAUUUGAACUUGUGUUCUUGUAUAGACUCUAGCCAGAAUGCUUAGUGCAUGUGUUCUUUGUAGAUUUUUAAAUAAAUCUGUGACGGUAUAUAUCAGCACAAUUAUGUGUCUCGCUGCACACAGAACUGGGUUUACUUAGCAAGGAUGAAGAAUUCGAACCUGAUUAACAAG